rnacentral:rRNA from 1 species
AUGCAGUGUAAAUUACAUAUUUCAUCACACAAACUAGUACCCAGACCAUUCUUUUUCCUUUCAGGUGUAGCCUUUUAUAUGUUCAAUGCUUUCUUCUCUCUGGAGGCAAUUUACACUAGUUUUCCGUCCACUGAUGAAGUAAAGCACUUAAUUGUAGCAGCAAUAAUAUGCAUAGUAUACAAAAUUAGUUACUCACAAGAUUUGCCUCUUAUUAUGAUUGUACCUGAUGAGGGACGAGAAGCCACAAAAGCCACUAAAGGUCAGCCUUGGGAUACCAAGCUCCCUUGCGAUGUCAGAUAUGAUGCAGCUCGGAGGCGAGCGCUGCUGCUCAUGGAGGUAUGCCUUGAGCGGCUCCUGAAGCGCAGCGAUGGCAUCCAUGAAGUUGGAGAGCAGAUCCGUGGAUUGGAUCAUGUCCAGGUUCUCGCACCCGUCCGGUAG